UGACGCAGACCCGAAACCAAGUGACCUACCCAUGACCAGGUUGAAGGCGCGGUAAAACGCGCUGGAGGACCGAACCCACGUAAGUUGAAAAUUGCGGGGAUGAGUUGUGGGUAGCGGUGAAAUUCCAAACGAACUUGGAGAUAGCUGGUUCUCUCCGAAAUAGCUUUAGGGCUAGCCUCGCAAAGAGGAUGCUGGAGGUAGAGCUCUGUUUGGACUAGGGGCCCGUCAAGGGUUACUGAAUUCAGAUAAACUGCGAAUUCCAGACAUUUAUGUGCGGGAGUCAGACUGCGAGUGAUAAGAUCCGUAGUCGAAAGGGAAACAGCCCAGAUCACCAGUUAAGGUCCCAAAAUUCAUGCUAAGUGGAAAAGGAUGUGGAGUUGCGCAGACAACUAGGACGUUGGCUCAGAAGCAGCCAUCAUUCAAAGAGUGCGUAAUAGCUCACUAGUCGAGUGACGCCGCGCCGAAAAUUUACCGGGGCUAAGCAUGAUACCGAAACUGUGGAUGUGCAUUUAUGCACGUGGUAGGAGAGCGUUCUAGCGGCGGUGAAGCAUGACCGAGAGGACAUGUGGAGCUUCUAGAAGUGAGAAUGCCGGUAUGAGUAACGAAAGACAGGUGAGAAUCCUGUCCGCCGCAAGACUAAGGUUUCCUGGGGCAGGCUCGUCCGCCCAGGGUAAGUCGGGACCUAAGGCGAGGCCGAGAGGCGUAGUCGAUGGACAACAGGUUGAAAUUCCUGUACUGCACCGAAUCGUUAUGAGCGAUGGAGGGACGCAGGAGGCUAGCAGCGCGUGGUGCUGGAUACCACGUUCAAGCGUCAAGUCUGAGAGCGAGUCAAAUGCUUGCUCUCAUAAGGACAAGGCGUGAUGAGGAGCGAAAUUAAAGUAGCGAAGGCUGCGACGUCACACUGCCGAGAAAAGCUUCUAGCCAGAGACGGUGCACCCGUACCGCAAACCGACACAGGUAGUCGAGGAGAGUAUCCUCAGGUGAGCGAGAGAACUCUCGUUAAGGAACUCGGCAAAAUGGCCCCGUAACUUCGGGAGAAGGGGCGCUGGUCGCAAGAUCAGCCGCAGUGAAAAGGCCCAAGCAACUGUUUAUCAAAAACACAGGCAUCUGCAAAAUCGUAAGAUGAAGUAUAGGUGCUGACACCUGCCCGGUGCUGGAAGGUUAAGAGGAGAGCUUAGCGCAAGCGAAGGUUUGAAUUGAAGCCCCAGUAAACGGCGGCCGUAACUAUAACGGUCCUAAGGUAGCGAAAUUCCUUGUCGGGUAAGUUCCGACCUGCACGAAAGGUGUAAUGAUUUGGGCACUGUCUCAACGAGAGACUCGGUGAAAUUAUAAUACCCGUGAAGAUGCGGGUUACCCGCGACAGGACGGAAAGACCCCAUGGAGCUUUAC
rnacentral:rRNA from 1 species